CCAACCUCGGCCCUUAGUAGGGGAGUAGCCCGGCGAAAGUCGGAUUAAUACCCUAUGUUUUCCUAUGAGGACAUCUGAGCAGGAACAAAGAUUUAUCGCUAAGGGAUGGGGAUGCGUCUGAUUAGCUUGUCGGCGGGGUAACGGCCCACCGAGGCUACGAUCAGUAGGGGUUCUGAGAGGAACGGUCCCCCACAUUGGUACUGAGACACGGACCAAACUCCUACGGGAGGCAGCAGUGAGGAAUAUUGGUCAAUGGGCGAGAGCCUGAACCAGCCAAGUAGCGUGCAGGAUGAACCUGCCCUAGUGGGUUGUAAACUGUCUUUUAUGCGGGAAUAAAGUGCAUCACGUGUGGUGUUUUGUAUGUACCGCAUGAAUAAGGACCGGCUAAUUCCGUGCCAGCCGCUGC
rnacentral:rRNA from 1 species